AGCACUUCGUUUUGGUGCAUGGUGUUUGUCAUGGCGCAUGGUGCUGGUACAGAGUCGUCACUCUCCUUGAGUCCGGCGGUCAUCGUGUUACUGCUCUCGAUCUUUCUGCAUGUGGUAUUGACAGCAGAUCUUUGGAUGAUGUCUCCACCUUCGCUGAGUAUUCUCGACCAUUGAUGGAUUUCAUGAGUUCACUGUCGGAAGGAGAGAAGAUCAUUCUCGUCGGUCAUAGCUUCGGAGGAGUGAGCGUGAGCUUGGCUAUGGAGACUUUUCCGGAGAAAAUCAAAGCUGCUGUUUUCUUGGCUGCCUUCAUGCCACACCCCGAUUUCCCUCCCUCUCACGUUAUUCAGGAGGCAGUGAAAAACAAAAACUAAAAAUCAAAUUUUUUUUCCAUGAAUUUAAAUGAUUGAAAUGUUGUUAAAUUUGUAUAUGCAGCAUUCAAAGAGUGGUGAAGGUUGGCUGUUGGAUUCCCAACUAGAUUCGAAGACUGGAACUAUGCUGUUUGGUCCCAAGUGUCAGUCUUCUAAUUUGUACCAAUGCACUCCCCUGGAGGUAACUGGAUAAUUUGGAUUGAUAUCAUUAUAUCAAUCAAUCAAUAAAAUUACAAGUUUUUCUCAUUUAGGAUCGCACACUGGCGAGGAUGUUAAUCAGGACUGGAAAUUUCUUUGUUGAAGAUCUGUCCAACAUGGAUCCAUUCUCCAAGGAUAAGUUUGGAUGCGUUAAAAGGUUUUUCAUCAUCUGCAAAGAGGAUAAAGCUAUAAACGAACAAUUUCAGAGGUGGAUGAUCAGAAAUAAUCCGGUGGACGGUGUGAAGGAGAUUGAUGGUGCAGAUCACAUGGGAAUGCUCUCCAAACCUCUCCAACUAUACAAUUGCAUGCUGGAAAUCGCACAAGAUAUUGUCUGAUUGUUUGAAUUCUGAAUGAAUAAAUAAAUAAAUAAACAAACAAACUUGUAUGGCUGUAUUUGUUGGAUCUGAUAAUAGUUUAUAAUAAACUUGUAUGUGUGUUAAAUUUUACUGGUAGAAUGGAUUAUCAAAUAGUAACCAAUAAUAUUUAAUCCAAUCGUUAAAAUAAUGUAUUUGUAGAAUAUUAUUAAUUAAUAUAUACUUUUAUAACAAUUAUCUUAUCUUGAAAUAACUACAAUUAUUUUCUAACAUGCACAAGACACUAAUACAUUUACGAAACAAAAUAAUAUACUACAUAAGACACUAACACGGGUACGACAAUAAAGUCAGAGUGUAAUCUCCUGCUGCAUAUUUGGCAUUUCACGUCGUCCGAUAUAAAAGUCCUCGGAAUAUCCCUAACCCUGUUGUGUGACCAGAAUUGAUAGGGAGAUCUUAUCUUCCACAUAAUCCAUUAACCAAAAACCGUGUAGCAUGCCAGAAAAUUGGACAUCCCCAAAAAAUAGUUGUUUUUGUCCAACUGAAAACAUUUGACAUGUUUCAUUAUCACCUUUAAAGGAAGUGAAGUUUGUGGCCAUCGGAGAGGAGCCGCUUAACAAGCCAUGAUGCGAUGUAUCCACCUCGCAAACCUUCACUGAUCCCAUCUCCAAAUUUGUUUCACGGAUCAAUUUUUAGAAAUAAUCAUCUAAGAUCGAUGGCAUAUGGUGUUCAAAACUAUCCACUUAUAAAUUUAUAUACGAUUUUAUCCUUAAAAUUAAAUCAAAUUUGAGGAACUACCAUCAGUCAAAACCCCAUCUUAUUCCUAGUCAUCCAUCGUCCUCUUUCCAUUCUAGACAGAAGUAAGGCUGUCAACGGGGCUGUACCCGACCCGGACGUCCGGACCCGGGACCAAUUUCAGGCCCGGUAAAGGGUUUGAACCCAGAUGGUCGGAUCCGGGUCCAGAUUAGCAGGCCCGACUAAUUUAAAUGUUAUAAAAAAAAUAUUAAUAUUUAAAUAAAUUAAGGGUUUAAAUAUAAAUAUUUUAUUGUAUUUUGUUUUACUAUUUAACCAUGGUUAUUUUUUUAUUUAUUACUUAAUAUUUAUUCAUUCUUUUAUCAAUAUUAAAGUUAAGGUUUUACCAUUUUAACACCACUAAAAUGAUGAUCUCAAAUCAAAAUGAUGCAUUUUCAAAUGAAGAAAUUUAUAAUUAUUUAUAGUUUUUAGGUAAAAAAAAAUUAAUUUAUUUGGACCCGGACCUGUCUCAGACUCGAAUUUUUUCAUGGAUCUGGACCAGGUCCGAGUCCAGACAAUUGAGUACUGGGCCCGGAUCCGGCACAAACUCAGAUCACGGGUCCAGCUCAGCCGUCCAAGAAGGGUAAAAAGAAGAAACCUAGGUUUCUGAAUCCAGAAGCUCGCCUUCUGUAUAAGAUCGAAAAGGUGAGUAUUCUGUGGCGUUAUUCUCAACAUGCAUCUUCAUUGGAAGAAACACGAAACUGUUAAAGUGAUCUGUAAACCUUGCAAACCCGGUAGUCAAGUCCACGAAUUUGCUCGAGAAAUCAUCAGAUUAAGCGGUGGAACACCCAUUCAAAUCAUCGGGGACGAUACCAUUAUUUUUUAUCGUGGUAAAAAUUACGUGCAGCCUCAAGUAAUGUCACCCAUUGAUACGCUUUCCAAAAAACGGGUUUGUAUUCUCAAGAUUUUAAUCCCUGUUGUUUCUGAUUCUAAAAUCUUUAAAACUGUAACUUGUUUUUUGGUCUUUUGGUGAUUCAGGCAUUUGAGAAGCCGUAUGAGUAGUUUUGAACACUAGAAAUGAAAACUGCCCCCUUGUUUCUCCGUCCGAUUUGUAAUGGAAUUUGGGGGUUUAUAUUUUAUAUACUGCAGACGUACAGUGUGGAGUGACGAAGAGUUGUAAUAAUUAAGAAGUGAAGAGGACAGCGUAGUAAUUUCGUAAAUAAGCGGAGGUAAGAAUAAAGAAUAAAGAAAAAGCGGUGGAUAGAUUAGUCAUCAGAUCUUAAAAAUGGAAGAAGAAGAAGCUAAAAAGAAGCACUUCGUUUUGGUGCAUGGUGUUUGUCAUGGCGCAUGGUGCUGGUACAGAGUCAUCACUCUCCUUGAGUCCGGCGGUCAUCGUGUUACUGCUCUCGAUCUUUCUGCAUGUGGUAUUGACAGCAGAUCUUUGGAUGAUGUCUCCACCUUCGCUGAGUAUUCUCGACCAUUGAUGGAUUUCAUGAGUUCACUGUCGGAAGGAGAAAAGAUCAUUCUCGUCGGUCAUAGCUUCGGAGGAGUGAGCGUGAGCUUGGCUAUGGAGUCUUUUCCGGAGAAAAUCAAAGCUGCUGUUUUCU
rnacentral:lncRNA from 1 species